rnacentral:rRNA from 2 species
UUUACAACUCCCAAACCCAAUGUGAACGUUACCAAACUGUUGCCUCGGCGGGAUCUCUGCCCCGGGUGCGUCGCAGCCCCGGACCAAGGCGCCCGCCGGAGGACCAACCAAAACUCUUAUUGUAUACCCCCUCGCGGGUUUUUUUAUAAUCUGAGCCUUCUCGGCGCCCCUCGUGGGCGUUUCGAAAAUGAAUCAAAACUUUCAACAACGGAUCUCUUGGUUCUGGCAUCGAUGAAGAACGCAGCGAAAUGCGAUAAGUAAUGUGAAUUGCAGAAUUCAGUGAAUCAUCGAAUCUUUGAACGCACAUUGCGCCCGCCAGUAUUCUGGCGGGCAUGCCUGUCCGAGCGUCAUUUCAACCCUCGAACCCCUCCGGGGGGUCGGCGUUGGGGAUCGGCCCUCCCUCUGCGGGGGCCGUCUCCGAAAUACAGUGGCGGUCUCGCCGCAGCCUCUCCUGCGCAGUAGUUUGCACACUCGCACCGGGAGCGCGGCGCGUCCACAGCCGUUAAACACCCAACUUUCUGAAAUGUUGACCUCGGAUCAGGUAGGAAUACCCGCUGAACUUAAGCAUAUCAAUAAGCGGAGGAAARAAACCCA